rnacentral:rRNA from 1 species
UACAGAGGUCCCAAGCGUUGUUCGGAUUCACUGGGCGUAAAGGGUGCGUAGGCGGUCGGAUAAGUCUGAUGUGAAAUCUUCGAGCUCAACUCGGAAACUGCAUCGGAAACUAUUCGGCUAGAGGAUUGGAGGGGAGACUGGAAUUCUCGGUGUAGCAGUGAAAUGCGUAGAUAUCGAGAGGAACACCAGUGGCGAAGGCGAGUCUCUGGACAAUUCCUGACGCUGAGGCACGAAAGCGUGGGGAGCAAACAGG